AUUUAAGUAGCUUAAUUAACUUAGAGCAUAAUAUUGAAAAUAUUAAGGUAAUAUUUAUUUAUUUUUAAAUA
rnacentral:tRNA from 1 species